AUUGAACGCUGGCGGCAGGCCUAACACAUGCAAGUCGAGCGGAGCGGCGGACGGGAGAGUAAUGCCUAGGAAUCUGCCUGGUAGUGGGGGAUAACGUCCGGAAACGGGGGCUACUAACGCCUACUAUCAGAUGAGCCUAGGUCGGAUUAGCUAGUUGGUGGGUUAAAGGCCUACCAAGGCGACGAUCCGUAAAUGGUCUGAGAGGCUGAUCAGUCACACUGGAACUUGGACCCGGUCCAGACUCCUACGGGGGGCAGCAGUGGGGAAUAUUGGACAAUGGGCGAAAGCCUGAUCCAGCCAUGCCUCGUGUGUGAAGAAGGUCUUCGGAUUGUAAAGCACUUUAAGUUGGGAGGCGUUCCCAACAGAAUAAGCACCGGCUAACUUCGUGCCAGCAGCCGCGGUAAUAC
rnacentral:rRNA from 1 species